rnacentral:rRNA from 1 species
GUCUCCUGGAAAACGGGUGGUAAUGCCGGAUGCUCCGACUCCUCGCAUGGGGUGUCGGGAAAGAUUUCAUCGGUAUGGGAUGGGGUCGCGUCCUAUCAGGUAGUCGGCGGGGUAACGGCCCACCGAGCCUACGACGGGUAGCCGGCCUGAGAGGGCGACCGGCCACAUUGGGACUGAGAUACGGCCCAGACUCCUACGGGAGGCAGCAGUGGGGAAUAUUGCACAAUGGGCGCAAGCCUGAUGCAGCGACGCCGCGUGCGGGAUGACGGCCUUCGGGUUGUAAACCGCUUUUGAUCGGGAGCAAGCCUUCGGGUGAGUGUACCUUUCGAAUAAGCACCGGCUAACUACGUGCCAGCAGCCGCGGUAAUACGUAGGGUGCAAGCGUUAUCCGGAAUUAUUGGGCGUAAAGGGCUCGUAGGCGGUUCGUCGCGUCCGGUGUGAAAGUCCAUCGCUUAACGGUGGAUCUGCGCCGGGUACGGGCGGGCUGGAGUGCGGUAGGGGAGACUGGAAUUCCCGGUGUAACGGUGGAAUGUGUAGAUAUCGGGAAGAACACCA